GACGAACGCUGGCGGCGUGCUUAACACAUGCAAGUCGAACGGAAAGGCCCUGCUUUUGUGGGGUGCUCGAGUUGCGAACGGGUGAGUAACCCUUGAGUAACCUGCCCUUGACUUUGGGAUAUCUUCACGAAACUUGGUCUAAUACCGGCUAGGAGCUCCUGCUUCUUGGUGGGGGUUGGAUAGUUUCGGCGGUUGGGGAUGGACUCGCGUCUUAUCAGCUUGUUGGUGGGGUAGUGGCUUACCAAGGCUUUGACGGGUAGCCGGCCUGAGAGGGUGACCGGCCACAUUGGGACUGAGAUACGGCCCAGACUCCUACGGGAGGCAGCAGUGGGGAAUAUUGCACAAUGGGCGGAAGCCUGAUGCAGCAACGCCGCGUGCGGGAUGAAGGCCUUCGGGUUGUAAACCGCUUUCGCCUGUGACGAAGCGUGAGUGACGGUAAUGGGUAAAGAAGCACCGGCUAACUACGUG
rnacentral:rRNA from 1 species